rnacentral:rRNA from 1 species
UUAAAUAGCUGCCGUAUAAAUAACUGUACAAAGGUAGCAUAAUAAUUAGUUUUUUAAUUGAAAACUAGAAUGAAUGAUUUAAUGAAAAAAUUACUGUCUCAAUUUAAAAAAAUAAAAUUUUUCUUUAAGUAAAAAAACUUAAAUUAAAUUAAAAGACGAGAAGACCCUAUAGAAUUUUAUAUUUAAUUGGGGAGAUUUUAAAAUUAAAUAAACUUUUAAUUAAAUUUAACAUUAAUUUAUGAAAAUUAUAUAUUUAUUAAAAAAUUUAAACUAAAUUACCUUAGGGAUAACAGCAUUA